UGUCUGUAUGUGUGUGUGUCUCUGUAUGUAUGAGUCUGUAUGAUACAUACAUACAGAGAAACACACAUACAGACACA